AGCCCUCAUCCCCGGCAUGUUGAUCUAGGCCAACGGGAGCCGCUACGACAAUGAGCGCUAAGCCGGUUCAGCCGUGAUUACGGGGGAUGAUUGAGGAGGGGAAAAGGAAGGAAAGGGCAAUGGGAUAUGGUUCAGAGCACCUGAACGGGUUGCGGGUCAAGGAGGCGUCGUCGAGGACGGAGAUUGCGCCGGCCGGCGCAGUGUGUGCUGCUUUAGGCACUAGGAGGAAGACGGGCAUGAGCGAUUGUGCGGGCAUGGGCUGGGCGCUCUCGGGGAAGCUGGCCCAAGAGGAAGAAUGGGUGUUGCCCAAGAAAAAAAAAGAAAAGGAG
rnacentral:lncRNA from 1 species